rnacentral:lncRNA from 1 species
AUGCGCAGACCCGGCGCUGCUCUCCGCCACGUGCUCCCCUCUCGCCACGUGCUCCGCGCACCCGGCCUUGCGCAUGCGCAGCAUCACUUCGCGCAUGCGCAGACUCCUCACUGCUCUCCGCCACGUGUUGAAUGGCCACGCUGUGGUUUUGGAGCUGAGGUCGCUGCAGGGCUGGGUGAGGAAAGCAGGCACCAGUUGUUGAAGGAGCAGCCGUGUUCGAUUGGAAGGGUGCAGCUUCUGUUCCUGCCCUCCUUAGAGCAGCCACCAGUCAGACUCUGGGUGUCAGCUGCACAUCCACCAGCAGAUGUGAAUUUGCAGGAGUUGAGGAAAAACAAAAGACUUUCUUCUGGAGCGCAGAGCUGGACAGACUGCAGACAAGUGUGAAGUGAUGGCUGUAACAGCAGCAUGGACUUUUGCAGAGGUGGGUGUUACAACCCCUGGCUUAUCUGCACAUCUGUCUGAUGGCUUUUAUCUCCAUCUGAAAUUCCUCCCUGCAGGACUUUGAGCUGCAGGGAUCCCUUGUUGGUGGUUUCCCUCUGCUCACUCGCACACAGAGGAGUGGGUUCUGUCUCCCAAUAAAGCAGCUAUUUUCCUACA